rnacentral:rRNA from 1 species
GACAGCAGUCGCCGCGGUAAAACGGAGGGGGCUAGCGUUGUUCGGAAUUACUGGGCGUAAAGCGCGCGUAGGCGGCUUGGUAAGUUAGAGGUGAAAGCCUGGGGCUCAACCCCAGAAUUGCCUUUAAGACUGCCGAGCUAGUAGGUGAGAGAGGUAAGUGGAAUUCCGAGUGUAGAGGUGAAAUUCGUAGAUAUUCGGGAGAACACCAGUGGCGAAGGCGGCUUACUGGCUCAUUCUAGACGCUGAGGUGCGAAAGCGUGGGGAGCAAACAGGAUUAGAUACCCCUGUAGUCCCUGUCUCUUAUAC